GCCCGGGUGGCGGAAUUGGCAGACGCGCUAGGUUCAGGUCCUAGUGACCCUUAAAGUCGUGCAGGUUCGAGUCCUGUCCCGGGCACCA
rnacentral:tRNA from 1 species